rnacentral:lncRNA from 1 species
UUUCUGAACACUAGUUCUAUUUCUACAAAAGUAUAAUAUGCUUCAAUUUUUGGCAGGGAACUCCCUCUCUACCCUGGGAUUGCGUGAGUAAAAGGAACAAGCCAUUAUGAACUGAAUACUCUAAAAAGAAAGAAAGAAAGAAAGAAAGAGAAAGGAAAGAAAACUCUCCUCCUGGUUGCAAACAGAAGAUUGGUUCAUUUGUGCAUGCUGUGCAAAACUUGCCACAAAGUCCUUUGUGCCAUCAGCAUGAAAAGAAUCCUUUGCCCAGGCGGGAGAUUAGGGUGGCCAGCAGGAAUCCCUGCACCCGAAAUUCAGAUCAGAAUGGGGCACUGUGGGCCCAGCUUCUGCACAGCCUGGGAGCUGAAGUCAGGGAACUUGCUCCAAAUGUAAAGCAGCGUCCAGGAAAAGCACUGCUGAAAGCUGAUUUGUAGUAUAUUGAUCUGAAUGGUAUUUUCCAUCUGAGUGCAACUGCCUUGAAGAAGGUGGGACACCUGCACCAUGUCAGGUGGGUGCAGUCCCACAGCGGGGUCAGAACCUGUGGAGGGAAGGAAGAGCUUCUUCUCCAGAAGCAACACCCUUAUCUCCAUGCUUGGCAGGCCCUCAGCAGCAGAUAUUCCAGCUCUCCAUGGUCAUCCUUUCCCCCUUUCCCUCCCUGGAGGCUGCCUACAGGAUACUCCCUGCUCCCAAUGCCCUGGAUUGAACCAUGAGCUGCUGAACUCUCAAACGUGCUUUUUGCUUGCUAGAUUGUGAUAACUUCAAGAAGGCUACAGCUAGAUUCCCUCCUGCCUGCCCCAACUCUGCUCUGAACAGCAGAACAUCCACUCCAAACUAAUAGAAGAAAAACAAGAACAAGUUUUCACUGCAAGAGGUUCCUCUUGUACUUCAUUCAGACUGUCUGGGAGAAGGGAUGAAAAUGGCUUUUGAAAUAUAAAUGCUGCUCUAGCUGACUCUUCACUAGGGUUUGUCAUGUCCCAUUAGCAGUGAUCUAGAAAUACCAGAGUCAUAACUUGUUGGCAAUCACUCACCUUCACCAGUAGCAUGUGAAUGCCCAUCCAUGGUAAUGGUCACCCUGCCACUUGAACAGCUCCAAAGACAGAUUCUAUAACAGGAGAAAUUGUUAAUGCAUAUGGGCUUUUCUGGGAUGAGUCAGAGUGAAGGAAUAACCUGCUUUAUCCUGUAGAGUCAGUGCACAGUAGGCAGAAAACAUCCCCAGCACAGGGGUUUCAUCUCUUCUGAAGAUUUUACCUUUUAGAUACUAUUUUAUCUCAAUUAAAAUCCCUUGCUAUGCAUGUAUUUCAAGUCCAUGGUGUUUGUUGAAUUUUAGAUCUAAGAUAUAGUCUCUUUGCUUAAUAAAACUGCAUUUUCUGCACUUGUGUUCA